rnacentral:sRNA from 1 species
CCUCUUUGCUCCUCUCCCCCACCCCACCCCAACCCCGCCGUGUAAACACGAGGACUUUCUCGAGAGCCCUGGAGAGCCGCUCUAGUGGCUUCGGGGCCUGAAACCCCAGGCUUGGCUUGUUUGAUGUUUAGCAUCCCAAAGCGGCUCCCCACCCCCGCCCCAGCCUGGGAACCCCGAGCUCCGGGGCCGAAGAGAAGGGGAAGCAGUUCUCUCAGCUGGAGGGCGGUGGAUUGGCUGGGCUUAGAGAAGUGGCGAAAACUACAGGACUCCCCGCCCUGAGCAGGGGAGAAAGGGAUCCCGGAAUGAUGCGGUCAUCCAUGAGGAUAUAGCUGGAGUCCUAAAGGCCAAGAGGCAGACGGGGAAAGAAAUGUCACAAUUUGGGGGAAUACACUGGAGAUAGGGGCCAGGUCGGUGGAAAUAGCUUGGGGCCACCGCGAAAACAAGGUAAGCGGUGUCUGGGUCCAGUUAGUGAGCAUCGAGAACGGCGUCCACGACUGCAGGGCUAUCAGGGCCUCGAGGAGACAGCGCUCCGUGCCACUGCUUAGUGCUUGGCCUUUCAUAGGGACGAACCUGCUUAGGAGUCUUCCAAGAGAUUUUUAAAUCCUCCGAGUCUGGACCUGGAAGCUCCAUUGGCGACGUUUGGAUCUGGCUUCGUAGUCUUUGAUUUCGAAAGCCCAGGAAGAUUCGCAGACUUUCAAGGCCGCACACACCGCAUUGCCGGGAGUCUGGGCGGCGGUGAGGACUGAGAAGCUGUCUCAAGACCUGAGUCUCUUCUCAGGCGAUCCCAGAUAAGAGGAGAGAGAGAGAGCUUUUCUGACUUCCAACUCAUUAGGGACCAGAUUUGCUCUCCAGCACAGCAAAAGGGUCUGCCUGUGACCCUCACCGAACUCACUCUUCACUGCUUUAUAGAGACCAUCAGACUCAGGACAAAUAUUCUAGUUUGGAUGCGCAAUUAAUAAUAAGAAGAUACAGGACAGAGGCGGACUGAAUGGCUCCAAUUCUCAGAAUGUGAAAGCGUAAAUCAGAACCUACUAUUUUGUAAAACCAACUUGGAAAACAAAAUUGUCAGAAGCAAAACAACAACAACAACAACAAUAAAAACCAAACCAACAACAAAACCAAGCAAGUCAGGCUGUUUUACCAAUAAAGGGGGCACUGAAUGGAAUCAGAGAUCUGAUAAGUGCCGGGAAGUUGGACUAAGAGGGACAGGAGACUUCGAAACUUCUCUGAAUACUGCUCUGGGAUCAGUACACGUCAACCUGAACCCGGAAGAGUUCCAAGUAUCUUUCCCCUUCUCUGUCAGGUUCGUGUUACCCUGAACCUGUGAGCUCAGAAGGAAUUUUCUGGUUUUCGGGAGACGGCAGCCAUUCAUCAUAGCUCUCCACCACUGACUGACUGAGAGUCAAUUAUCAUCAAACAUCCAUCUGCCCAUGAUGCUAAUUAUUCCUACUCCAUGAUUGAGGAUUUGGAGUCGGAGACUCACCUGCAAUAUUUGGAAUACCAGUGGAGAUCCAUAUCAACAUGGAAUUUAUACAGCAGCUGGUGCCAGUCACAGCUAAUGAUGAAACUUCAGCUUAAUAAAAAGACCCCCAACUGAGUACAACCAUCUCGAAGAAAGUGUACUUAUCAAACAGCUUUCAAUCAGUUCAAGAGAGACACCUUAAUUGUGAAGAGCAAGAACCGCACAGCAGUUGUCACCAUGCCAACUUCAGAUCAAUGGCACUUCCACUGCUCUUGGUACAUAUAGCCUUGCCUAUGUCCUUAACUGCACCAACAUCCUUCCUGUUGGGAUGAGAUCUUGUCAGCUGCUAGCGUGUGAUGAUGCCUUCGUUCAUUACAUUACUAUACCCCUUAGCAAAAUUUAAACGUGUAAUGAUAAAGGUCACUACCUUUUCCUUUAAUUAAGACCUCUAUUUCUUGUUACCAGAAACAAGUGCCUAUGACAUUUUGUAUUUUCAGAAAUUAUCCUGUUGAAAUAAAGCUACACAAACAAAAUAAAA